CUUCCCUUGGGGCCGGGAGCAGUCGGAGAGUUCCUCUACACUUUUCCAUUUUGAGGAAGUAAUUUGGAAAUUCUCUUCUUUCCAAGGAAUGUGAAAAGCAAGGAGUAACCAUGGACCCCCAUCGUACCACUCAUACUAACUUUACCUGCUUUGCAUUGUAGGAUUUUUAUUUUCUACCACCCGACUAAGCACUUAGUCAUUUACCUCUAAGUGGGGAAUCUUUCUCUCAAGUCUGCAAGCUCCUUAAAGUCAGAAAGCAUCAUGUGGUAUUUAAAAAAACUUUCUUCCUUCUCACACAGACUAGGAAGAGAGAAGGGAAGGAAGGAGGGAGGAAGGGAGGGAGGGAGAGAGGAGGUGAAGGUGGGAGGAAAGACUAGCCCUAGGCUGGUGGUGACUCUCAGUGACUGGCUACUCAGCUUUUCCCUGGCUCCAGUUGGCCCCAGGCUCUCUGCUUCCAUAGCUGGAGUCCGAGACUUUGGCUGCAGGCUUUGGGAACAAUCCCGAGGGUCAUGGCUCCCUCUGGCCUAGUCUCAGGUCACCCUGUUCCUAGAAUGGGGCUCCUGCUGCCUGGGAUUCAGUCCCUGCCAAGUAAAUGUCUUGCUUAAAUUGUUUAUUCCAAUUGGCCCUUCUGGAGAUUAAGUUCUCUACCAGAACCUUCACUCUUAUGGCAGAAUCCUGGCUUCUGGCCUCCUCUGCUGCUUGUCUGGGCUGAUUCCUGCCCCAGGUAGUAUGAUGCUCCAGCACCCUCUCCCCUCUUUCCAGCACCCCCACUUCUUGACAAGCCCUUUCUUAACCAUUUGUACUAUUCUCAGCAGUCUUGUUGGGUUUUGAGCCUCUCCCGUUCCUGAGGUGGCUGGUUUGUUGUCACUAAAUCCUUGCUUCUGACAUCAGGAGGCUGAUUUUGUUGAAUAAGCACAAUAGCACUAACAUACAUCCAAAUUAGAGCUAUCAUUUGAAGGAGACACCGGGGAAGGUUGCACUAGUCCAGGGAUGCUGCUAUUGUUCCACUUUGUAUGUGGGGACACUGAGGUUCUGGGGGCUUUCAAACCCACUGAGACCAUACAGCAAAUUAUAGGAGCAGCUGAAACCUGCCCUCUGUCUCCUACCAUGUGCUUCUAAUUCAGAGCCACUCAAGCCACAGAAGAAAUGAUCUCACACUGUAGCAGUACUUGUUAAUCUUUUAAAAAUCAUAGUCCUUGAGGAAUCUGAUAAAAGCAAAAACACAUGAUCCCUCAGGAAAAUACACACACACUCAAAACUUACCUAAAACUCCAGGAUGAGAACUCCUGUAAACAAACAAACACUUUCCCCAAAUUUCAACAAUGAUUACAUGGCAUGAUUGUCUUCCUCAUCCUCUAGACUUGCAUCCAAAGUGACUUCUGGCUGUUCCCAAAUAUCAAAUCCCUGAAGGAACGAUAUGUUCCAGUGCUGAGGAGAUCCAAAAGAAUGUGCUGUAAACUCAAAAGGCAUUUCCACAAAGGGCAUUCCAAAGAUGUUUAAAGAAAGGCAGGGUCCCUGGAAAGCACAGCUUCUCCAGAUGACCACCUAGAAGAGGGUAACAUCUGUGUUCCUGUCCUGGUUGGCUCUUAAACAAUCAGUCCCUUUCUCUCUCAAGCAAAGCUCAUAGAGAAGCUUUGGUGUGAAUACCUCCUAUCUGCUAAACCGAUGAGGGGUAAUUCCAAAGUUUAGCAGAUACUGCCUCCUCCAUACAGGCUUCAGGGACCUCUCCAUGUGCUUCUUCCUUCCGGUCCCAAAGCUCUGUAUGUAUCUGCAUCUCUAUCUCAUCUCUACCUCUACCAACACACUUUUUUUUGAGUACAGACAUGAAAGGCAGACCCUGGGUUCAUGCAUGCCAUCAUGGGACAUUUACUGAGAGACCGCCAUGUAUUAGCACUGCAGAUACCACGGUGUGGACAAAGCAGCACUGCAGACUUUCAUGAUAGGCAGACAAACAAGAUGCAGCAUGCCUAAUGCUAUCCUCUGGGAAAUACAGGGUGCUUUACAGUCCAACGGGUCAUGGAGAAGGGCACCUUUUAAGCUAAAAUGUGAUAUACAUCUUUCCAGGGCCCAGCACAAAGCAUGUGUUCAAUCUUAAACACAGUAAAAUCCUCCAUGUUUGCCGGAGGGCUCACUCACUGAGGGCAUCUGCUCACUAAUUUAAGAGUGGCUAUGGUGAACCAGAGCCUGACCAUUCGGAAAGCCAGCUUGCAUCAGGUUCAGCUGUUUACCUCCUUUAGCUGUUUCUGAGACUCUGUGAAUUGGUGGAAAAAGCAUUGGAUUUAAAACUCUUGGAAGCUGUGGUUCUGAGGCUUUGUCAACACUACACUCUUUGCAGGUGGCAGUGGCCGAGGUUUAGUCUCACACAACACAACAAAUGAGAAAGGAGUCUUUAAAAAGAGAAGAAAUCUUACAGUAAAUCAUUCUUUGUUGAUUUGAGUUCCACAAUCUCUGCCAGAAACUCUGGAACUUGAGUACUACCAGAAAGAAACAAAAUGUGGAUAGACCUUGACAAACUGGAGCAGGUUCUGAGGAUCUGACCAUGUUGGUGUGAGUCUGAAGAUGCCAUCACGGGGAGAAUAGGGGGAAAGGAUCACCAUGACUGAAGGAAGCAACAUGUACUUUGAGCAUAAGAAAAAAAAAACGAGAAAAGGCUGGAAUUUAAAAGGAGGAUGGAAUAAGAAUGGGUGAGCUUCCUAGGGGUUUACAUAAUUAAAUGUGUAAGAAGUGGCCCCAGAACACAAGUUACAGUUGCCCUGAAUAAGGACUUUGCCCUACUCAUUUUUGUCUCUCAAGCAAAUAACACUGUGUUUGAUAUAUAUGAGCUCCAAAUGUUUAUUGAAUAUAUGAGGGAGGAAUUAAAAUAAUAUCUAAAUUGGCCCAAGAACAGAUCUUCUGUUCUGAUUAUAGAAAAAUAAAAUAAAAUUCUGAAACCUUAUUUGAUUUUUGUUGACCUAAUAAACUGAAAAAAUAUGUAUAUAUAUUCAUUUUACUGCAUUAGCGGUAACUCUAGC